AGUUAAGUCUGGCUUGAGCAUUAUUUUCAAGCUAAAAUACAAACAAGAGAGCAAUAACGAUCUUUGCGUGGAUAAUAGCUAAACCUGAAUAGAAGCUUCCAGGGCCCUAAUACACAGCCAAGGAAAGCUAACAGUCAUGAUUCAAUAAAGGUGCCUUGUAAGGCAUGUGCCAGACAGAAAGGAGACACCAUAUCUGUGUAAUCUACAGACACUGCUUUAAACAUCACAUAAUUAAGUCCUUCCCAUGGUGGUGGCUACUUGAAGCUUUAUCAUUAGCUUGUAAGAUUUCAUCUCUGGGUUUCACCGAUGGUUCUGAGAAUGAACAUUUUCAAACCAGAGGCACCUGCUAAUCCAGGAGACAUACUCACCACGCCUAUUCUCGUCCUCCAGUGAAAGAAGCUCUAUGUUAAAUGACUGAAGGGAAACAGAAGGGAAUAUGUAACAAAAUAUAUACAGGAGCAGCCCCGGGGUGGCUUUCCAUGCUGAGUGUUCUAUUACAUUAAUCCUGGCACACAAAAAAUGCGACAGCCACAUGGAUAUCAAUAUGCCUGCAUUGUUUGUCUUCCAUCGGCCCUCUCUGUACACAGGCAUGCAUUUCCCUCGAGCAAUGAUCAGGCUGAGAAAGUGAUUUCAUUUACAUUGCAAAGGAGACAGAAAAACAAACAGAAAACCCAGAGGCCACGACUUCCCGGGAGUGCUCCAGAGUGUGUGUAUUGCUAGUAGAAGCUAUGUGCACCUCCACACCCCGGAACUAUUUUUGAAGCUUUGAUGUAGAAACGCACAAUACCUACAGCGACCUUAAAUUUCUGUAAAACAAAUAUAGCAUGCAUUGAUGCAAUUGCCAUAUAUUUAUAGAAUUCAACAAUUGCCUUCCACCAACUUUAUCAAAUAUCUGCUGCAUGGGGGCGGUGCUAGGACAGAAACAUAAACAGCUCUGAUUGGUCCAUUAUGCAGACGAAGCACAUGCUUCAAGGACCAGAAAAGCAGAGAGAACACCGUGCUCCUGCCUUACUGGCCAAAUGAUGCAACAAGAAAAUUCAGGAAAGUUAAUUUAAGUUUCAACAUACAGAUUUUUUUGUCCCUUGGAAGACACAGUUUUAAGUUUUAGUUGAGUUUUGUUUUCAUUUUUAUUUGGGUACAGGUCUUGGGAUAGUUCGGAUUUGUGUUCAGAAAAUUUUUACUCCUCCACACUUUGGAGGAAUACCCUUCCCUGACUUAGGGAUGUUGGACUUGGCCAUGUGACUAUUGGCCAGUAAGAUGUUAGCAAGCAUGAUGCCAUCAAGGUCACUGUGGAUUUGCACAGUGGGCCUGGCUCUCCUGCACUUCCAACAUUGCCUUGAGAUGCAUACACAUGCCUGCGUCCAAGGAAGAUGGAAGACACCUGGAGCAAACUUGGACUCAGCCCAUAACUUGAAGCCCAGCCCGGACCACCCCAGGUCAUCUAAACCCCAGCUAAUUUGCAAAUGUUUAUGUGAGAAUAAAUAAUUACCA
rnacentral:lncRNA from 1 species